AGUAUUAAAGGUACUGCCUGCCCAGUGAAAUAUUUUUAACGGCCGCGGUAUUAUAACCGUGCAAAGGUAGCGUAAUCAUUUGUCUUUUAAAUAAAGACCAGUAUGAACGGCUAAAUGAGGACAAACCUGUCUCCUGCAACCUAUCAGUGAAACUGAUCUUCCAGUCCAAAAGCUGGAAUACAAACAUAAGACGAGAAGACCCUGUGGAGCUUAAAUCCACCCACUAUGAUGUACAAACACCACUAGUGGAAGGCUUUAAGUUGGGGCGACUUCGGAACAAAAUAAAACUUCCGAGCACAGAAUCACAAAUUCUAACCAAGGCAAACAAGCCUAAGAAAAACUGACCCAGUCAUACUGACCAACGAACCAAGUUACCCCAGGGAUAACAGCGCUAUCUUCUUCAAGAGUCCAUAUCGACAAGAAGGUUUACGACCUCGAUGUUGGAUCAGGGCACCCCAAUGGUGCAACCGCUAUUAAAGGUUCGUUUGUUCAA
rnacentral:rRNA from 1 species